UAAUGAUGUCUAAACUUAAGCUAAGUAC
rnacentral:piRNA from 1 species